rnacentral:rRNA from 1 species
GAUGAACGCUGGCGGCAUGCUUAACACAUGCGAGUCGAACGGGAAGUGGUGUUUCCAGUGGCGAACGGGUGAGUAACGCGUAAGAACCUGCCCUUGGGAGGGGAACAACAACCGGAAACGGUUGCUAAUACCCCGUAGGCUGAGGAGCAAAAGGAGAAAUCCGCCCAAGGAGGGGCUCGCGUCUGAUUAGCUAGUUGGUGAGGUAAUAGCUUACCAAGGCGAUGAUCAGUAGCUGGUCCGAGAGGAUGAUCAGCCACACUGGGACUGAGACACGGCCCAGACUCCUACGGGAGGCAGCAGUGGGGAAUUUUCCGCAAUGGGCGAAAGCCUGACGGAGCAAUGCCGCGUGGAGGUGGAAGGCCUACGGGUCGUCAACUUCUUUUCUCGGAGAAGAAACAAUGACGGUAUCUGAGGAAUAAGCAUCGGCUAACUCUGUG